CUCUAUUCAAAGUUAUUGAAUAAAAACGUGCCAACUCUGGGUCAGAAAAUCCCUUAGCCAUAAAUAAGUGGAAGCUGGAAAGUAUAAAUAAGGUACUGUCCAGCCUGGGCACUCGGACUUGCCUCUUGUGCCAGGUGCUUGUUCAGCUACUUGUUCCAGCCUGUAAAAGAGCCUGAACACAAAUUGGCAGAUUCUGUGCAGCAAGGCUCUGAAAAUCAUCUCCAAUGAUCCAGAAAGCUUCAUAGCAAGCAGAAGAAGUCCUGCUCCUUGUCACUGUGAUUAUGGAGAUGCAGGAAGCAGGUAUCCAUGUAUGGCACAGCCUAACGAAGUGAGUAAUGAUCCCAUGCUGACUGGCAUAUCUGUCUGGAGAACAAGGAGUGUAGC